rnacentral:rRNA from 1 species
GACGAACCGUACGAACGUUAUUCGGAAUCACUGGGCUUAAAGGGUGCGUAGGCUGUGCGGAAAGUUGGGUGUGAAAUACCUCGGCUUAACCGAGGAAUUGCGCCCAAAACUACCGUGCUCGAGGGAGAUAGAGGUGAGCGGAACUUAGGGUGGAGCGGUGAAAUGCGUUGAUAUCCUAAGGAACACCGGUGGCGAAAGCGGCUCACUGGAUCUCUUCUGACGCUGAGGCACGAAAGCCAGGGUAGCGAACGGG